ACGCAGCCCCAAAAAACCAAAAGCAGACCAGAAAAAUAAAUACUCCCUACUCCAAAGAGAGAGAGAUAGAGAGACUGGUUUUGGAGAGAGAAAGCGAAGUGGGGAGAGAGAGAUAAGAAAAGGCAAACCCCUCCGUCGGCUAGAGCCAAGAGGAGAAGAAGGAAGCAGCAGCAGCUGGCGGCGGCGGCGGCCAAACCCUAGUCUACGUGCUGCGCCGCUGAGGGAGGAGACACGCGUGCGCCAUCGGUCGGCGCCAGGAGCUGCAGAUCCGCGGCCGGGCCGCCGGAAUCGGGGGAGAUCCCGCCGGGAUGGGUCCGCUUGGGCUGUGACCUCGCUCCCGCCGCCCGUUUCGUCUCAGGGGUUUUCGCCCUGCUAGGGUUCUAAGCUACUCGUUGGUUGUUUGGUGCGGUUUUUUCGAGGGGCGGUUGGGGCCCUGCGCUGGUUUCUACGGAGAUUUGGGAGGGGAUCUGCCGCCAAGGCGGGAGUCCUCCUUCGUCGUGAGCGCUGGAGACGCAGGGCGGGAUCGGGGGAGCCAUGUCGUCGCUCAGCAGGGAGCUGGUCUUCCUCAUCCUGCAGUUCCUCGACGAGGAAAAGUUCAAGGAGACGGUGCACAAGUUGGAGCAGGAAUCGGGCUUCUACUUCAACAUGAAGCACUUCGAGGACCUGGUCCAAGGUGGGGAGUGGGACGAGGUGGAGAGGUACCUCAGCGGCUUCACCAAGGUGGAGGACAACCGCUACUCCAUGAAGAUAUUCUUUGAGAUCCGCAAGCAGAAGUACCUUGAAGCCCUCGACAGGCAUGAUCGGGCCAAGGCAGUGGAGAUACUCGUCAAGGAUUUGAAGGUGUUUGCCUCCUUUAACGAGGAGCUGUUCAAGGAGAUAACGCAGCUGCUGACUCUGGAUAAUUUUAGGCAAAAUGAGCAGCUGUCCAAAUACGGGGAUACAAAGUCAGCCCGGAAUAUCAUGCUCAUGGAGCUUAAGAAGCUUAUUGAGGCAAACCCUCUGUUCCGAGACAAGCUUAAUUUCCCACCAUUUAAAGCCUCGAGACUGCGCACGUUGAUCAAUCAAAGUCUUAACUGGCAACAUCAGCUCUGCAAGAAUCCUAGACCAAACCCUGACAUAAAGACACUCUUCACGGAUCACUCCUGUGCUGCUCCUACCAAUGGAGCAAGAGCUCCUCCCCCUGCCAAUGGUCCUCUUGUUGGACCAAUCCCCAAGACAGCUGGAUUCCCUCCAAUGGGUGCUCAUGCUCCGUUUCAACCCGUGGUUUCACCAUCUCCAAAUGCAAUUGCUGGUUGGAUGACAAAUCCCAAUCCCUCCUUACCACAUCCUGCUAUUGCACAAGGGCCGCCCGGUCUUGUUCAGCCACCAAACACAGCGGCAUUUCUGAAGCAUCCAAGGACUCCUACAAGUGCGCCUGGCAUUGACUAUCAGUCUGCAGAUUCUGAACAUCUGAUGAAAAGAAUGCGUGUAGGCCAGCCAGAUGAGGUGUCAUUCUCUGGUGCAAGCCAUCCUCCCAAUGUUUACAGUCAAGAAGACCUCCCCAAACAAGUUGUUCGCACACUCAAUCAGGGUUCUAAUGUUAUGAGCCUGGAUUUCCAUCCUGUUCAACAAACUAUUCUUCUAGUUGGAACAAAUGUUGGUGACAUCGGGAUAUGGGAAGUUGGUUCACGCGAAAGGAUAGCACACAAGACAUUUAAAGUUUGGGACAUUGGCUCCUGCACCUUGCCAUUGCAGGCUGCACUAAUGAAAGAUGCUGCAAUAUGUGUCAAUAGGUGUCUGUGGAGCCCUGAUGGAAAUAUUUUAGGUGUGGCAUUUUCAAAGCAUAUCGUUCAGACUUAUACGUUUGUUCCUAAUGGAGAGUUAAGACAGCAAGCAGAGAUUGAUGCUCACAUUGGCGGGGUCAAUGACAUUGCAUUCUCUCACCCCAACAAGUCCCUAUCAAUUAUUACAUGUGGUGAUGACAAACUCAUUAAGGUAUGGGAUGCUCAGUCCGGACAAAAGCAAUACACAUUUGAAGGCCAUGAGGCUUCAGUGUACUCUGUUUGCCCUCACUACAAGGAGAACAUUCAGUUUAUCUUUUCUACCGCCAUCGAUGGAAAAAUCAAGGCAUGGUUAUACGACUGUUUGGGCUCACGGGUCGACUACGAUGCUCCUGGACAUUGGUGUACUACCAUGUCUUAUAGUGCUGAUGGUACAAGGCUCUUCUCUUGUGGAACUAGUAAAGACGGUGAUUCCCACUUGGUCGAGUGGAAUGAGACUGAAGGAGCUAUUAAGAGGACAUAUAAUGGCUUCAGGAAACGGUCACUGGGUGUUGUCCAGUUUGACACAACGAGAAACCAUUUUUUGGCUGCUGGAGAUGAAUUUGUUGUUAAAUUCUGGGAUAUGGAUAACACCAACAUACUGACAACAACAGACUGUGAGGGUGGACUGCCUGCAAGCCCGCGCCUGAGAUUCAAUAGAGAAGGGUCAUUGCUUGCUGUUACAGCAAACGAUAAUGGAAUAAAAAUAUUAGCAAACACCGAUGGGCAGCGUUUGCUGAGGAUGCUAGAGAGCAGGGCUUUUGAAGGCUCUCGUGGACCUCCUCAACAAAUUAAUACCAAGCCUCCACUGCUCACCAACCUUGGUUCUGCUUCAAAUGUAUCUAGUCCUAUAGCAGUGAACUCAGAGCGACCUGAUAGGAUGUUGCCUGCAGUAUCAAUGAGUGGACUGGCAUCUAUGGAUGUUAGCAGAACGCCGGAUGUUAAACCAAGAAUAACUGAUGAAUCUGAAAAGCUAAAGACCUGGAAGUUGGCCGACAUUGUUGAUUCAGGACAUCUUCGGGCACGGCGUUGUCCAGAUACAGGAGCAUCUCCAACAAAAGUUGUCCGUUUGUUGUAUACAAAUAGUGGGGUUGCACUUUUGUCUCUCGGUUCCAAUGCUGUUCAUAAGCUGUGGAAAUGGCAACGCAGUGACAGGAAUCCUAAUGGCAAGUCUACUGCAUCUAUUUCGCCUCACCUGUGGCAACCAGCAAAUGGGAUUCUAAUGACAAAUGACACAAGUGAUGGCAACCCAGAAGAAGCAACUGCCUGCAUUGCGUUGUCCAAAAAUGACUCCUAUGUUAUGUCUGCAUCUGGUGGCAAAGUCUCUUUGUUCAAUAUGAUGACGUUCAAGGUCAUGACUACUUUCAUGGCACCUCCACCUGCUGCGACUUUCCUCGCAUUCCACCCACAGGACAAUAAUAUUAUUGCUAUAGGAAUGGAAGACUCGACCAUUCAAAUCUACAAUGUCCGUGUUGAUGAGGUCAAAAGCAAGCUCAAGGGUCAUCAGAAAAAGAUUACCGGACUGGCAUUUUCUCAAUCAAUGAAUGUUCUUGUAUCUUCAGGUGCUGAUGCUCAGCUAUGCGUCUGGAGCAUUGAUGGUUGGGAGAAGAAGAAAUCAAAAUAUAUCCAACCCCCGGCAAAUCGCUCUGGUGCUUUAGUUGGCGAUACAAGGGUCCAGUUUCACAAUGACCAAACACAUCUUCUUGUAGUUCAUGAGAGCCAACUGGCAAUCUAUGAUGGAAAUCUUGAAUGCUCGCGCUCGGUCAUUGCUAAAUAUUUUUGAUUUAUACAUAUUUGCUUUUUUCUCCUUUAUGGAUUAUUAUUGUUACUGGGCAUCUUCAUUGAUUUCCCCUGUUACUUGAUGCAAAUGCAGUGGUACCCAAGAGAUGCACUGCCAGCGCCAGUUUCGAGUGCAAUAUACUCGUGUGAUGGUCUCCUGGUUUAUGCUGGUUUCUGUGACGGUGCUAUUGGAGUAUUUGAAGCCGAGUCCCUUAGGUUGCGUUGCAGGAUUGCACUUUCCGCCUAUGUGCCUCCUUCAAUAUCUAGCGGGGCAAAUGUGUACCCCAUGGUUGUAGCGGCGCAUCCCUUGGAGCCUAACCAGAUUGCAGUUGGAAUGAGUGAUGGGGCAGUUCAUGUGGUUGAGCCGCUGGACGCGGACCCAAAGUGGGGAGUCGCGCCUCCCCAGGAUAACGGAGCCCACCCGUCCAUGUCAUCAGCUCCAGCAGCAUCUAACAACCAGACGUCUGAUCAGCCAACGAGAUGACUCAGGCCACUAAACAAUGGUAGGACUCUAGGAGACAGGGAGAAAGAAAACAGUUAGAUUCAUGAGACAAGGUGAGGUGAUAUGUAUCAAUUCCACACCAUCUCCUUGCCACAGGUGGUGAUUGAUGAUGGCAUGUCUAGAUUAGUUUUUGGUUCCUGGUUGUUUUUUUGCCCCAAAAAUCUUAACUUCAUCACCUGGUGCCCUCUUCCUUUGUAAAGCUUUUCCUGCUCCCAGCUAGUGGUGGUUACUUAGAAGCCUUUAUUUGUUUUUAUUUAUUUAUGCUCCUUUAUUUGUGGGGGUAGUUACUUUGUAGUGUAAAAUAUGCUUGUCAUGUUGGAUGAUGAUGAUAUUUGCUUCGCUUGUUGCCGCCGAUUCGAUUGGCUAUUUAGCUUAUUUAAUUGAUGGGAGGAUUUGUAGUGUAAA